rnacentral:misc_RNA from 1 species
GUGACAUGCUUGCCCCCCUCCUAUGGUUUCACAUUAUUGUCUAAGUCAAUUUAAAGAUUAAACGAUUAAGAUCACCUAGAUGUAUCAUGUUAAUAUUUGAUAAAGCCCAGAGAUUUAAGGAAGUCUUGAAGAAACUGGGGCUGACAGCACUAUGGAUCCUAAAGUAAUUUUCAUUAAGAGAAUAAGUUUUUGCUUUCAGAUUUGAUCAUUAAGAAGGCCAGAAUAUCUGUAAAAUUUGACAAAUCUGCAGGAAGGAGUCCAUUUGACUUGAGGAAAAGGGAAAACAAG